UUAAUAGUUCAUUUGGUAGAGCAUGAGACUUUAACCUCAAGGUUGUGGGUUUGAGCCCCACACUGGGCAAAA